rnacentral:rRNA from 1 species
AUUGAACGCUGGCGGCAGGCUUAACACAUGCAAGUCGAGCGGAGAUGAGGUGCUUGCACCUUAUCUUAGCGGCGGACGGGUGAGUAAUGCUUAGGAAUCUGCCUAUUAGUGGGGGACAACAUUCCGAACGGAAUGCUAAUACCGCAUACGUCCUACGAGAGAAAGCAGGGGAUCUUCGGACCUUGCGCUAAUCGAUGAGCCUAAGUCGGAUUAGCUAGUUGGUGGGGUAAAGGCCUACCAAGGCGACGAUCUGUAGCGGGUCUGAGAGGAUGAUCCGCCACACUGGGACUGAGACACGGCCCAGACUCCUACGGGAGGCAGCAGUGGGGAAUAUUGGACAAUGGGGGGAACCCUGAUCCAGCCAUGCCGCGUGUGUGAAGAAGGCCUUAUGGUUGUAAAGCACUUUAAGCGAGGAGGAGGCUACUGAGACUAAUACUCUUGGAUAGUGGACGUUACUCGCAGAAUAAGCACCGGCUAACUCUGUGCCAGCAGCCGCCGUAAUAC